rnacentral:rRNA from 1 species
GACGAACGCUGGCGGCGUGCUUAACACAUGCAAGUCGAGCGGAGCGGCGAACGGGUGGGUAACGCGUGAGUAACUGCCCCCCUCUCUGGGAUAACAGUUGGAAACGGCUGCUAAUACCGGAUAGUGGGGGAUGACUCGGGUCCUAUCGGCUUGUUGGUGGGGUAUUGGCCUACCAAGGCGACGACGGGCAGCCGGCCUGAGAGGGCGACCGGCCCCAUUGGGCUGCGAUACGGCCCAGACUCCUACGUGCGGCAGCAGUGGGAAGUCUGGCCGAGUGGGGGAAACCCUGGUGCAGCAACGCCGCGUGCGGAAUGACUGCUUUCGAGUUGUAAACCGCGUUCAGCCAUGACGCGGUAGUGGCCGAGGAAGCACCGGCUAACUACGUGCCAGCAGCCGCGGUAAUAC